AAAAAAAACAUUAUUUUUUAUUUGAAACAAGAAAAAAUGAAUUUUCUUAGUUGGCAGCAGCAGCGGCUCUACGACGGUCACGUUCUUCAGUGAUAGAGAGCUUGAUACCCUUACCCUUGGGGAGAGAGAUCAUGGGCUUGUUACCUUGACCAAUGAUGAAGACGUUGGAGAUACGGGUAGCGAAGACACGGUCCAAAGAGUCCUUGACGUGGACAAUUUCG
rnacentral:misc_RNA from 1 species